GUAGGGUUAUAUUUUAAAAGACUCGGACUGGAGAUCUGUAAGAGUUACUAGACUACAGAGGAGGAAGGUGAUGAUCGCUGUAGAGGGGAAACAGCUACCUGCUAAAAGUGUUUGACAAGGUCACUUCUAUUUUUCAACCAUAAAAGAAUGUGGCAAGCAUGAAGAGGUCCACACUGUUGUAUGUGAGAAGUGAUGGUUGUCCAGUCAUGUAGGAGACAAAGUAAGCUGCUAUACUGCUGUAUAUGGAAAUCCUGUGAGGAGUGAUGGGUGUCCAAGCACCUAGGAGAAAAGGGUGACACAUAUGGCUGAGCCACAAGCCUCCAGAAAAAGACAGUUGUUAUGACCUCUUCAGCUGCAGUUGAAAGUGAUUAAGAAGCUGUUAUGGUAUGUUGUCUGGCAAAAAGGUAGAUGUGUAUGUCAGCCUAGCUGAAACACAAAACUUGGCUAGAUGUAUUCUGUUCUCAUUUCUAAGAAUUGUGGCCCGGAGCUAGAGAGGUGUCUCAGCAGUUAAGAGCACUUGCUGCUCUUGCAGAGGACCCGAGUUCAGUUCCCAAUACUCAUGUGGAAGCUCAUAACCACCGAACCACCGAUAAUUCCAGUUCUAGGGAAUCCCAUACCCUCUUAUGAUUUCUGUAGGCUCCUGCACACACACAGUACAUAUACAUACAUGCACAAAAUAUUUCUAAAAGAAUCUAAGCCAGUGAGCUUUUACUGAAGCAUCAUAUAAUAUCAAUAAUUAACAUCACUUUCCAGUCAAAUAGCAACAGCUCCUCUUUCCUGUUUUUUUGUGUGUUUGUUUUUUGAGGUAAGGUCUUAUUUUGUAACCCUGGCUGACCUAGAACUUGUAAUUAUUGUCCUGAGCAUAGAGAUUAAAGAUGUAAGCCACCAUGCCUGGCCUUCAAAUCUCACUAUCUAAUAUCAGCUUUUAUUAAAUAUCUGAAAACCCAAAGUAGUGUGGAUUCUUUGGUGUGAUAACAAUAUCCUUGGUUUUCAAAAAUCAACAGAUCUUAAGCAUGUGGUUUUUUCCUUUCCCUGCUUAAAAACUUCCAUGGCUCCCACUGUUUACUGAAUUAGCAACAUUCUGCUUACUGUGCUUUGUAUGGCUUCCUGUGGUCACCAAUAAGUGAAGGCGAACUAAAAGUUUUGCUUUAGAGCAGUGCUUUUUAAACUUUAACACACAUGGAUGACCUGGUGCCCUUUAUAAAGUGUGAUUCUUACUCAGUGCAGCUGGGAUCAUGCUGUUCAGAACAAGGUCAUGGCAAGAUUUCCAGCAAUGAGAAAAUGAGGAUAAGCUUUAAGAAUUAAACCCUAGUGGGGGAGAAGCAAGUCAGUGUAGGGCUUCAGUAGGAAACAGCGUAUGUGACAUGGAACUCUAGAGAGAUCUCUAUAGUAGUUUCUGUUCAAAUGCAACACUCAGAAGAAUCCAGGGGAUGGAGUAUUUCACUUGUUUUCAUGAUUUUCAUUCUUCAUCUGCCCAGCUGCUUUAUACCAAGGAUCCUGAGUUCCUGGAACCGAGAGUCUAACCCUGUUUUCCACAGUUCUGAAAGGGGCAGUACAGGCCUUGAUUUCCCCAUAAACCUUAUAGAAGGAGGUCUUGACUUCUUUUUUUUUUUUUUUUUGAAAUUGUAGUUAUAGUAAGUAAGGUCUUGCCAUAAGUUACAAAGUCCAGUACAAAAUUCCCACAUACAUUACACUUGGCCACAAGAUCCUAACGCGUUCCAAAGAUGGUAACACAGUGAGUAGGUGAUUAGAUCCCUACAUACAUUAUUCUGUCUGCCUCAUACUAUCUCAGAUCAAAAGCACUGAGUCUGCUCAAUUAAACUGAUAUCACAACAUAACACUAAAGUUUUAGCCUUAGUUUUAGCCAGGCUUUUGUAUACAUAUACAUCAUGGCUGUGUUUGUUAUGUAUUGUUGAAUGUUGACUGUUUAGCUUCUCUUUGUAAUUCUGAGAGUAUGAGGCUCAGACUGCAGGGGACUCUUGUACAUGACUGGAGGUGAGUUUAAGUAUUAAGGUUGCAUUUGAAGUGUUCUGAUUUGAUUUUUAGAGAACAACCUGUUCUGAAAUGUUGGAGUUCUGGCACCAUUAUUCCUUCUCGGUUCCAUUCAGCUCCUAACUCAGUCAUUUUCAUUUUAAUCCAGCAAUGGCUCAAAAAUAUGGCAGCACAUUGCAAGCACAAGAACUGGCCUCACUUAGCGAUUCUGAAAUACAGUCCUUGGUUUGUCUUCCUGGCUACUGUGAAGGUUAAAACAUUAACAGAUUUUAAACUGUUACUUACUGACUUGUUCUUUUAAUGUGAGUCAAACGUUAAUAAAAUUGAA